rnacentral:lncRNA from 1 species
UUUUACUUAGUAUUUUAACCAGAAUCAGCAAAUAAGAAGCAAAAGGUGAAACUUGAUUACGUGUUAGAUCAAGUGGGGGCAUCAACGCCUCCACGCCCCCACCAUCCCUCUCUGAACCUCUUAGUCUCCCCCACCAUUAUUUCCUCCUCCUCUAUUUUAUUCAUUUCCUCUGAGAUAUUUUCGUCUCUCUCCCCCUCUCGUUCAUCUCCCCUAGCUUCUUCCUCGUCAGCCAUACACGCCUUUACUUGUCUCCUCCACCGCAGCACUGUCGCAGAUCCCUUCUCCUUCCUCCCUUCGUCGCCUCUUUCGUCUCCGAUUCUCCGAUGGACGUCGCCGGCCGUCAAGUUUCCUGCAGCCCUUGCGUUUCUCUGUCUGCAUUCUGCUCUAAUCUUAUUGCAUCCCACCUCCUCCGACCUCUCAAUUUUGCCGUUUCUCGACGGAGUUUUGAUUCGUCUGAGAGAGAGUGAACGUCUUGUUUGGCUGCAAACAAAAUUUCAGAAAUUACGAGCGUAAAUGGAGCUCAGAAUUUCGUGAAGGACUAAUCGUCAGCCCUAACCGCUGAACGUCGCGAUAGUAUUAUAAUAAAGGAAAGUGAUUUCUUGUUGGAGAUAUGGAGCUCUCAGGUCCAAGCCUCCGAGAAUAUUAUGUUGCAACAAAGACAUGAGAUCAUUGCAGUGCUCUCUAAACAAUAUCAGACUACGUGAACAAGAAGUUAUUCAUUUCUUAGAAUGAGAGGCUGCAAUUUGAUUAAAGCAUGCAGCAAAAGUUUGUAUGUCUAUUUGGGAUAGCUGGUCUGAUAAUUACUGAGGAUGAAACUCGUCAGACUGGUGCAUCCACUACUCACAGAGGGUUGAACCAUUAUAUGAAAGCUGUACCUCAUAUGCUAUGUGUUCCAACUUCCAACGUACAACCAUGAAUUCAGUUUGAAGCAUCAUACCAUACAGGUAUGAAUCUUUUGCUUGAAAGAUAUUCUGAACGCAUAUAUCUUUUGUUAAAAAGACAUUGUAAACUUGUAUUUUGUUUGAUAUCAGAUCUGUUGUAUAAUUAGUCAACUUUUGUUGCAUCUAUGUAAUUGCACUAUCUUUUCUGAAUAUUAGUGGUCGUGAUUUUUGUGAGGUGAAUGUAAUCUUUGUUUGUUUUCUUUCAUCCUACUAUGCCAAACUAGAGUUUUAUAUCCAUUAUCAAAUGUUUCCAGAUAAUUUGUUAUGAGAGAAAUUUAAUGGUAGAGUACGUAACUUUACCAUCAUUACUUUUUUGUUUGUCCAUUUAAAUUGCCAUGCCUGAUUCCUAGUCAAUUUUUUUGUCUUUUCUGACUAUCACCAACUCAUCUUCCUUUCUGGGUUAGAAUUAUGUGUAUAUUUUCUAAUUAAGUAAAGAUUCCUAAAAUUGGACCCAGUGCCCCACCAAAAAAACAAGUAGGGGUCCUCUGCUUAAGCAACUCUUCAGUAUUGUAUACAUUCUUUAAGGACCAAGUGCCCCUCUUAUACAUGUAUCUAUGUUCGCCAAGUGUUAGUAUUAUCUCCUUCCGAGCAAUACACAUUUUCAUUGAUAAAGUAAUUAGGAUUCCGUUGCUGGUAUUUGUGGUAUCCUAAUUACAUUUAAUAGUAAACCCAGCAUUUAAGGCAGUUCUGAGCGUGAUCCUGAAUUAAUCUGGUUUUAAGACGCAAAAGUGUUUUUCUGAAACUAGUUUAUUUUCAUUGGUAGCAUAUGCAAAAGAUAUCUGCAAUAUAAAACAUUAAAAAAAUAAACUAAACUAAACUUCUGGUUU